rfam:Myotis brandtii contig217056, whole genome shotgun sequence.
GGCAGUUCUUGGGUGAUGCACCCUGGAAUCGGGUUCCCUUCUCUCUGGUUUCGAGGUACAUCAUCAGAGAACCGCC